GACAAUGCAAAUAGUCUGGGUAGCCAUUUGACUAGAUGUUCAGGAGUCUUAUGGCUUGGGGGUAGAAGCUGUUUAGAAGCCUCCUGGACCUAGCCUUGGCGCUCCGUCACCGCUUGCCGUGUGGCAGCAGAGAGAACACUCCUUCAGAAUUGACUGUCAUUCGUUCUUUGUGUCAUCGUUUCAAUUUCUAUUGCAGGCCAACUGUACUACUGGCAUUGCCUGGGUGGGGUUGUGCUACACAGAAAUAAAUCAUGACUGACUGACUCGCACUCUUGUGACAAUGUAGUUCAGGAGGGCACAAAUGAAAUGUCAUUCAGGAGGGUACAUUUGGAUGCUUUUCUCAACCUCGGUCAGUGACAGGUUGUACAGGUUAUGACUUCAAUCCACAUGCUGAUAGCCUACUACGGUUCGGUUGUGAACUACGAGACCAUACUGCCAGGUCUUUCAUUCUGCUGUGUGUUUUAGAAGAAAUGGAAACAGAAGUCGUCUCCUAUAAAAGCUUUUAUCGGAGCAAUAUGACAUCUUGGGUUCAAUUCUUUGUUGCACACAGAAUGGUUUAUUCUUUUUCAUUAUAACCAUACUGUAUCAUUGUGUUUCACCAUGUCAAAUCUUUGUAAGCUUACUCUGUCUGCAGCUCCACUAAAACAUGAAGCUCUUGCAGUUUCCAUGGCGAUGGAUUACAUUUGAAUGAUUGACAGGUGCAACACCCCCCUGUUUGACUACCUAUCAUUCUUUUCCCAAGAGAAGCUGUGUGGACAACACUUCUAUUAAACUCGAUGUGAACCCUUGAAUCCCGAGGAAAGUAAUACCGUUAAAACAUAUAUCAUCAAGCUUCAGAUGAGAUUAAAUUACUAUUAAAUAUGAAUAAAUGUUAAAUAUCUACUGCAUAUCAGAAGAGGGAAGGAAAAGAGUACAAUAGUACAGCCCAUAGUUUAACUUAAGUGCAAAUGGAGGGACAGAAUAACUGCCUAUACUGUAUAUAAUAAGUCUAGCAGAGACCAUAAAUAAAGACAUGGUUUAUAUAACGGGCUCUGCAAGAGGGGUGAACUGGAGGUCAAAGGUCACCCAGGGGUAUUUUUUUUGACCCCUAUCAAAGAAACCUGUUUCAAUGGAAGUUCAGUUCAAAACAUUAGAAUAACCAACAAACUCCAACACAACAGGUUCAUUAUUUUUCCCUCAUGGUCCCCUAGUAUCAUUAUUGCAGCCAUAUCUGUUUUUCCACACAACCAGGCCAUACACCAUCCACGCAGGGUAAGCAAAAACAAGUGUAAUAUUCCUGACUUAACUGAAUUAUGUCCUCUCUCUAACCAGGCCCAGAUAAGACUCCUCAGACACCUAUUUCUAAAGGCCUACUGUCUCACUGACUUGUAGCGUCAACAGCACACCUGUCUGUCCAUCUCGACUGGGAUAAAGUGAUUGAUUGGGACUUUGCUCUCCUCCUCCCCACCUGCAAGAGUCUAUCUGUGUUUUGUCUUCGUUCAAAUUCUGCUGUCAGAAGAUACUUGGACAAAAGGGAAUACUCCGUGACAGAGGAAGUUAAGGGGGAAACCAGAGGACUUUCUAUGAACAGAGGAUCUCAACCGGAUUAAUAACGGAAGAAUGACCCCUCUCUAACUCAUACAAAGACUCAGACACUUUGGACACAGAUUCAUCAAGUAUUUGGGUUACCAUAUUUGGACAUCCUGAAAACUGAUGUACAGACCUGCAGUAGACUGACGUUGAAGGAGAGGAACAUUUUUCCACAAGUUGAAGCUACAUCAAGUGGGAUAUUACUGCUGAUCAUCGAGGAUCAACCUGAAGCCAGUUUCUGUUGAGACAUAAGACUUUUAAGUCAUAAGGUCACAACACAUCAGAGCACAGGGAGAGAGUUGGUAUCAGACAAGGUUGAAGGAAGUAUCAGAGGUGACCUCUACACAGACGGGGACUCUAGCGGGUCACACAGGCCCAACUAUGGAGGAGAGAAGGCGUGUGGGCUAUCGCACACACAGAGAGGAGCUGGAUAAAGGAAAAAAAGUUCCCUGUCUCUGAAAAACUCAGAGAGUCAAUGAGGUACAUAUGCAGUGAUGAUAGCCGGCGUGACAGAUCGCUUGGCUACAGAUUCUAACUUCACGAUGUGGGACAAGUCGCGGAGUCGCGGAGCGGGUAAAAGUGGCAGCGGCCGUGACUUUCAUGUUCGGCCUCUUUCAGACAGUGAUAGAGGUGCGCUAUCUAUUGCCAGAAACCAACAUAGGUACCCUGGUGGUGAGCCUGGUGUCAAUCGUUGGCCUCAUCAUCGUCAAGGAGCUCAACACCUAGCUGGGGAAAAAACUGUCAGUACCCAUUCCCUGUAGAGCUGCUAGCGUCAUUGACGCCUGUCUGUCGGUCGGUCGUCAGAUCAUCAACGUCACGGUGUUCUCCUGGCAGGUCAACCUUGAGGAUGAGUAUGAAGUGGAAGUGGUGGGAGAGAUCCCCUCUUGUCUACAGCCCCCUUGUCCUGCCUACAGCCUCUCUGUUUGGUCAGGUUAUAAAUGAUGCCCUCGCUCUGUCUGUGGUUGGCUGCGGCAUUGCCAUCUCUCUCGGACAAAUCUUUGCCCUAAAAUAUGGCUACAAUGUUGACAGCAACCAGGUGAGAAACACUGUCAAUGACUGUGUGAUUGGAAAUCCUUCUGGGUACCCUGGUGGUGAGCCUGGUGUCAAUCGUUGGCCUCAUCGUCAAGGAGCUCAACACCCAGCUGGGAAAAAAACUGUCAGUACCCAUUCCCUGUAGAGCUGCUGGCGGUCAACCUUGAGGGGGAGUAUGAAGUGGAAGUGGUGGGAGAGAUCCCCUCUUGUUUCAGGCCAAAGUACUCCUCUUCUAGGGCAGGCCCCUGAGACUGACAUCUACAGACCAGUGGAGGAUUAUAAUCAGCGUGGGAUUGACGUCACUAAAUGAAUCUCCCGAAAGAAGAAAGCGGAGGCCAAGAGAUUGAGGAAGGAAAGAAAGAGGCCAGGAAAGCCAAAAGAAAAAAGGAAAAAGAAGAACGCCCAGGAACUGGAGCAGUCUCCCUCGCUCUGACCCCGACAUUUGACCUCUCUCUGGUGCUGUUUCAGAUCCAAAGGGACUACGGUGAUAUCGGUGGGGAGGUAGUGGAUGUCAGAGUGAGGGUUACAUUUUCAAUUUACUAUUAUCAAAACCUUCAUGCUGAACAUGCAGCACAGUAACGACAGGGCCCAGAUGGACAGUGAUGACGAGGUGAAACACACACGAGCACGACACGUGCACACACACGGAUGCCCCCAUUCUCAUCGACGGGGCUGCAGUGGAGCAGGUUGAGAGCUUCAAGUUCCUUG